rnacentral:rRNA from 1 species
UAGGGAAUCUUCGGCAAUGGGGGGAACCCUGACCGAGCAACGCCGCGUGAGUGAAGAAGGUUUUCGGAUCGUAAAGCUCUGUUGUUAAGGAAGAACGAGUGUGAGAAUGGAAAGUUCAUACUGUGACGGUACUUAACCAGAAAGGGACGGCUAACUACGUGCCAGCAGCCGCGGUAAUACGUAGGUCCCGAGCGUUGUCCGGAUUUAUUGGGCGUAAAGCGAGCGCAGGCGGUUAGAUAAGUCUGAAGUUAAAGGCAGUGGCUCAACCAUUGUAGGCUUUGGAAACUGUUUAACUUGAGUGCGGAAGGGGAGAGUGGAAUUCCAUGUGUAGCGGUGAAAUGCGUAGAUAUAUGGAGGAACACCGGUGGCGAAAGCGGCUCUCUGGUCUGUAACUGACGCUGGGGCUCGAAAGCGUGGGGAGCGAACAGG